rnacentral:rRNA from 1 species
UACGGAGGGUGCGAGCGUUAUCCGGAAUUACUGGGUUUAAAGGGUCCGUAGGCGGUCUAAUAAGUCAGUGGUGAAAGCCCAUCGCUUAACGAUGGAACGGACAUUGAUACUGUUAGACUUGAAUUAUUGGGAAGUAACUAGAAUAUGUAGUGUAGCGGUGAAAUGCUUAGAUAUUACAUGGAAUACCAAUUGCGAAGGCAGCUGGCUACACGAAUAUUGACACUGAUGCACGAAAGCGUGGGGAUCAAACAGG